UCAAUCCCACUAAAAAUACACACGACUUCUCGGGGCACUCCAAACUGAAAAGAACAAGUCAAUAAAUUAUCCCUUGGCAAUGAAACAUUUCCUUUUCCCUGUUCCAAAGCUAUCAUCCAGAAACUUCACUUCCUCUCCACCCUCCACUUUCCUUUCGAAGUAACAAAACGUACUACUCGGCCACCUCUACAUCUUCCUCGCCGGCGUAUGUGAAAAAGUUUCGAUUCUCCAGAGCCACAAAUGUCUCCAGCGCGUCUUGAUCGAGACCCCAACCAUCUCCCCUUCUCAAACCUUCCUUUACCAGAGAAUGCGCAGAUCUGUUCGCCGAACAUGAAACAUAGAUAAUGAAUCGCCCUCCAUCAUCACCUCCCUCAACCCCAGAUCUCUCCCCAACUUAAGCGAUUGGAGGCAUGCAAGCCGCGAAAGGUGAAGGUACAUUCUCAUUUUUAACGGCUCUCGUACUUAAAAUUCUCGAUCUGCCAUCUCUAGCUAUUAUUCCCGAACAAGAUUUUAAUGUGUGAGCCUGGAAAACGGCAUCACAAUUGAUUUUUAUAAAAGGGACUUCCGGUGGCCUCCACCUCUCACACCCCACCUUGGUGACAGGUAGUUUCUUUUCAAUCUCAUCAAGUUCAUUCAAAUAAUCUAUGGUUUGCCUCGAAAUUUGCCGUGGCGAGAUAAACAUUUUGUUCUGAACCCAUUUAUUUCUUGCGGGCCAAAGAGACCAAACCACACAUACAAUCUUUCGACAGAUGUCAGGUUUCAACUGCAAACGGACAGUCGCGAAACCCAUGCUCCAAUGUCUCCUCACCUCUCAAGCAUUUUGGGCAAGAGUAGCUCCCACCAAUCUUUUAUUGUACAAAUUAUAGGAAUUAGGAAUUAGAUUAUUGAAAAUACGCCAGAAAGUGAUUUUAACAUUUUUUGGCAAAUUAAGCUUCCAUAAUUUGUUGUAAAAAGGUAUAUCGGAAUUAUCCCCUUCUGUUGUAUUUGCAUACCCGAUUCCAUGUUAAAACCUAUACCCACUCCGCACCCACUCCGCACGGUAUAUUCUCCUAAGGGCUACGCUUGCCAAACGACCGCAUCUUCCUCCUUUGAAGCAAAGGGAAUGCAGAGAAUUUUCCUUCCACCCCCAAAUCGAGAAAAUUGGGACUCAAGCAUCUUCCAAAAUAUUAAUUUUUGUCCCCGUUUUGACCCGCCACCCUAGCCCAUCCAAUAGCAAUCCCUUUGCGUACCAAAUACUCUUCCAGAUACGUGAGGGGUAAGCUCCUAACCUUGCUUGCAAAGAAUGUAAAGUAGGAUAGUAUUUUGUCGUAAGUGAUUUGGCUAAUAAUGAACUCUGAUCAUUAACAA